rnacentral:rRNA from 1 species
AUGAAUCUCAUAAGCUGGAACUGCCGGGGGGGGAACCCCCGGACAGUUCGUGAAAUAGCGACGAUUUCUCAGUCGCAUUCCCCCAUGUUGGUCUUUCUUUGUGAGACCAGGCAGAAAGCUACGAAGAUGAGGAGAAUUCGAGGCCGUAUUGGUUUGGAAGGCUUCGAGGGAGUAGAUAGCAAUGGUAUGAGUGGUGGAUUAGCACUAUUUUGGCAUGAGUCGUGCGUGGUUGAAAUUUUGGUAAGGAGGAAAGAUAUAUCGAUGCUUUGGUCAGAUUGA